rnacentral:rRNA from 1 species
AACGAACGCUGGCGGCAUGCCUAACACAUGCAAGUCGAACGAGACCUUCGGGUCUAGUGGCGAACGGGUGCGUAACGCGUGGGAACCUGCCCUUAGGUUCGGAAUAACUCCCCGAAAGGGGUGCGAAUACCGGAUAAUGUCUUCGGACCAAAGAUUUAUCGCCUUUGGAUGGGCCCGCGUUGGAUUAGCUAGUUGGUAGGGUAAAAGCCUACCAAGGCGACGAUCCAUAGCUGGUCUGAGAGGAUGAUCAGCCACACUGGGACUGAGACACGGCCCAGACUCCUACGGGAGGCAGCAGUGGGGAAUAUUGGACAAUGGGCGAAAGCCUGAUCCAGCAAUGCCGCGUGAGUGAUGAAGGCCUUAGGGUUGUAAAGCUCUUUUACCCGGGAUGAUAAUGACAGUACCGGGAGAAUAAGCUCCGGCUAACUCCGUG